rnacentral:rRNA from 1 species
AUACUUCCAGGAAAAGUCUCUAAGCUUCAGUUACACAGGAAUCGUACCCGAAACCGACACAGGUGGUCAGGUCGAGUAGACCAAAGCGCUUGAGAGAACUCUGCUGAAGGAACUAGGCAAAAUGGUACCGUAACUUCGGGAGAAGGUACGCUGUUGUCUGUGAUAGGACUUGCUCCUUGAGCGGCCGACAGCCUCAGAAACCAGGCCCCUGCAACUGUUUAUUAAAAACAUAGCACUCUGCAAACACGAAAGUGGACGUAUAGGGUGUGAUGCCUGCCCGGUGCCGGAAGGUUAAUUGAUGGGGUUAGCGUAAGCGAAGCUCUUGAUCGAAGCCCCAGUAAACGGCGGCCGUAACUAUAACGGUCCUAAGGUAGCGAAAUUCCUUGUCGGGUAAGUUCC